UGGGGAAUUUUGCACAAUGGGCGGAAGCCUGAUGCAGCGACGCCGUGUGGGGGAUGAAGGCCUUCGGGUUGUAAACUCCUUUCGUCAGGGACGAAGUUUGUUUGACGGUACCUGGAUAAGAAGCACCGGCUAACUACGUGCCAGCAGCCGCGGUAAUACGUAGGGUGCGAGCGUUGUCCGGAUUUACUGGGCGUAAAGGGCUCGUGGGGGGGGUGUUGCGUCGUCUGUGUAAUCCAGGGGCUUAACUUUUGGUUGGCAGGCGAUACGUGCCUUGCUUGAGUGCUGUAGGGGAGACUGGAAUUCCUGGUGUAGCGGUGAAAUGCGCAGAUAUCAGGAGGAACACCGAUGGCGAAGGCAGGUCUCUGGGCAGUUACUGACGCUGAGGAGCGAGAGCAUGGGUAGCGAACAGG
rnacentral:rRNA from 1 species